rnacentral:rRNA from 1 species
UACAGAGGGGGCAAGCGUUGUCCGGAUUUACUGGGCGUAAAGAGCGCGCAGGCGGUCGUUCAAGUCGGGUGUGAAAGCCCCCGGCUCAACUGGGGAGGGUCAUUCGAUACUGAUCGACUCGAAGGCAGGAGAGGGAAGCGGAAUUCCCGGUGUAGUGGUGAAAUGCGUAGAUAUCGGGAGGAACACCAGUGGCGAAGGCGGCUUCCUGGCCUGUUCUUGACGCUGAGGCGCGAAAGCUAGGGGAGCAAACGGG